GAGGAAUAUUGGGCAAUGCCCGCAAGGGUGACCCAGCAACGCCGCGUGGAGGAUGAAUGUCGUAAGAUUGUAAACUCCUGUUAGAGGGGAAGAAUAGUACCGGUUGGACCGGUAUAUGACUGUACCCUCAGAGAAAGCCCCGGCUAACUACGUGCCAGCAGCCGCGGUAAUACGUAGGGGGCAAGCGUUGUCCGGAUUUACUGGGUGUAAAGGGCGCGCAGGCGGGAUAAAAAGUCAGUGGUGAAAUCCUAGAGCUUAACUGUAGAACUGCCUUUGAUACUUUUAUACUUGAGUGCGGGAGAGAGAGACGGAAUUCCAGGUGUAGUGGUGAAAUACGUAGAUAUCUGGAAGAACACCAGUUGCGAAGGCGGUCUCUUGGUCCGACACUGACGCUGAGGCGCGAAAGCGUGGGGAGCAAACA
rnacentral:rRNA from 1 species